rnacentral:rRNA from 1 species
UACCAGCUCUCCGAGUAGUGUGGAUGUUUAUUGGGCCUAAAGCAUCCGUAGCUUGCUAAGCAAGUCCCCUGUUAAAUCCACCGAUUCAAUCGGUGGAUUGCGGGGGAUACUGUUUGGCUAGGGGACGGGAGAGGCCGACGGUAUUUCCGGGGUAGGGGUGAAAUCCUAUAAUCCCGGGAAGACCACCAGUGGCGAAGGCUGUCGGCUAGAACGCGCCCGACGGUGAGGGAUGAAAGCUGGGGGAGCGAACCGGAUUAGAUACCCGGGUAGUCCCAGCUGUAAACGAUGCAGGCUAGGUGUUUGGGCGGCCACGAGCCGCUCUAGUGCCGCAGGGAAGCUGUUAAGCCUGCCGCCUGGGGAGUACGGCCGCAAGGCUGAAACUUAAAGGAAUUGGCGGGGGAGCACCACAAGGGGUGAAGCCUGCGGUUU